rnacentral:snoRNA from 1 species
UGGAUAUGAUGACUGAUUACCUGAGAAAUCAUUGAUAAAAUCUCAAGAAAAUUCCUGUAGGUAGUCAAGUUCUGAUCCAG